ensembl:lncRNA
CUGUCACGCCCUGACCUUAGAGAUCUUUAAAUUCUCUAUUUGGUUAGGUCAGGGUGUGACUAGGGUGGGCAAUCUAUGUUGUUUAUUUCUUUGUUGGCCGGGUAUGGUUCCCAAUCAGAGGCAGCUGUCUAUCGUUGUCUCUGAUUGGGGAUCAUACUUAGGCAGCCUUUUCCCUUUUUUGUGGGAUCUUGUUUUUGUAUGGUUGCUUUCCAGCCCUACAGAACUGUGCGUUUCAUUUUGUAUUUUUUUUUUUUCAGUGUCAUCAAUAAAAGAAAGAUGUAUGCCCACCACGCUGCACCUUGGUCUACUCCUUCCAACGACGAGCGUAACACACUCCAGGUCUUGGAGAUGGGCAGACUCAAUACUGCCCUGUCACUCCAGGUCUUGGAGAUGGAUAGACUCAAUACUACCCUGUCACUCCAUGUCCUGGAGAUGGGUAGACUUAAUACUACCCUGUCACUCCAUGUCCUGGAGAUGGGUAGACUUAAUACUACCCUGUCACUCCAUGUCCUGGAGAUGGAUAGACUCAAUACUACCCUGUCACUCCAGGUCUUGGAGAUGGAUAGACUUAAUACUACCCUGUCACUCCAUGUCCUGGAGAUAGGCAGACUCAAUACUACCCUGUCACUCCAUGUCCUGGAGAUAGGCAGACUCAAUACUACCCUGUCACUCCAUGUCUUGGAGAUGGGCAGACCCAAUACUGCCCUGUCACUCCAGGUCUUGGAGAUGGUCAGUCCCGAUACUUC